GCUGUAAACACUACUUUAUUAAGCACGAGUGUGUAAUUCUCUGAAAUAUUUCUUUGUGGGAAAGAGAUUCUGCCCCGCACGGCCCAAUUCAAAGCUUCCGCUAGUGCUAAGCCCAAUGUUUCCGAAUUUCCCGCUGACCGAGACUCCAGGUCCACAGAUCGCCCCUCGCAGCCGAUCCCCGACCCCGGCCCUGGCGGAGGCGGGAGACGGCUGCGGACCUGCAGCCCCGGUAGACAGAGGACCAGAGUGCGGGCCUCUCAAAGGCGGGGACUUGGUGGAAGCGGUCCAGUUCUCGCGAGGUUUCGUCCUGACCCGAGCAGGCGACAGCUCCGCGGAGAGAGUGGGUUUCGCUCACAGGAGGGAGCCGAAGGGCCCGGAGUGGUCGUUGCUACCCGGGGUCCGAGCCGGGGGAGAAGCCGUCACCUGUAAAAAGCCAGUUCUCCCUAAAGUCACCCCUGGGGAAGUCCAAGGCAGCGCUGGCCUCUUCCUUCGGCUGUGGGGGCAGCGCAGGCAAACCUUGCCGGCUAAAGAGAACCGCCCUAAGCAAAAAAAAUCGUUUCAGCCCGUGUAUGUUUCCCGUCGAGGCUAGGACACUGGGCCCUCCAGCGCCGCAUAGUGGUCUUGCAUACUGCUGAGGGCCGCGGAUCCGCCCUGUGGGUGCCCGAUCUCGCAAUAAGGAGCGUGGGGGCUUCACCGCCAACGACUGUCUGGUUUUAAUUAAAAGAUUUCUUGAAAAACGGCAGUGUGCACAGCCUUUUCUGACCUCACAGAUCCCUUUUAGAUUGUUCAGCCCUCGUCAUCCUUUUGACAGCCGUGUUCUCCGUGCAUUUUAUCCUUGAAAUGAAAUGAAGUCGCUCAGUCGUGUCCGAAUCUUUGCGAUCCCAUGGACUGUGGCCCACCAGGCUCCUCGGUCCAUGGGAUUUUCCAGGCAUGAAUACUGGAGUGGGUUGCCAUUUCCUUCUCCAGGAGUGGAGAUUAUCCUUAGUCUUUCCUAAAAUUCAUGUUUGUGCUGGAUACGCCAAGAACAUAAACACAGGUGUCCGGGCUCCCGGGGAGCUGGAGCUUAAAGUGGAUCUAGUGAAGCAAACCAGCGGCGUCUCUCCCAGGUGGUCAUCCAGCGGCUGCCCCCCAGCAUCACCAAGGAGCAGCUGGAACAGCAGCUGCACCUGCUGCCCGCACACCUUUACCACUGAGCUCGGAUGAGAAGCCUUUACGAACAUUAAGAGCCCAACCUGGAGUUCCCUGGCGGUACUGUGGUUAGUACUCCGAGCUUUCUCUGCUGGGCCUGGGUUCAACCCCUGGUUGGAAACUAAGACCCCACAAGCUGCACUGCAGGACCUUUGAUUUUCUACCUCUGAGGACCAGCUUUCUAACCCUGGCUUUGUGCAGUAGAGAGACUGACCUAAAGUGCCUCUCCGAAAUCUUUAAAAAGAUCUGUUAAUAUUUUGUUUGGUUUUCUUGCUAAAGAAUAUCCAGAUUGUUGAAAGUAACUGAGAGGUUAUUCUUUGGCAUAAAGGUUUUAUCUGAAGUUGUCCAGAGCCACGUUAGGCAUUACUGACAAAAUGCAGGCACGGCCUCAGCCCCCUCUCCUCAUUCUGCAGGCAUGGACCCAGGAUGAAGGAGUUAGGCCUUGUAAUUCUGACUUGUUUUUUCCUCUCCUUGGCUGAGUUGACUAAAAAGGAAUAUGAAGGUACUUAUUGUUCUUGCACAAAGCAGCUGUGCUCAGAGAAUAAUUCAUAAGGUUAAUCAUUGACAUUUGUUUAAGGACUUUUACAAAAGAGUGUUCCAGGAUAAGCACAUAGGCUGCAGCUUGAGAACAUGGGAGGGAUUGCUAUCUGAAGCCUAUUUGUGAGGAAAAUGUUUAUGGCAAAGGCAUUUACUGAAUUUAGGGCUUAGAAAUAAUUAAAAUAGUUAGAAGUUAAAGAUUUAAGGAAUGUUGUAAAGUUAGCAUAUUUUACUAUAGCUUAUAGAAGUUAGGAAUUUUUAGAGACACUAUACUAGAAGUCUUUUUAAGAGAUAGUGAGCUCAGGACGUUAAGGGCAAACAGGAUUUAGGAAGAUAAGUAGGAAACUGAGGAAUGUAGCAUGAGUUACAAUGUAAUCACAAGUUAACUAUAGGACACAUAAGAGGAAGUAGAUACUAGAUGGUAAAGCUGAUUUGGAGAGAAUCGCUGAAGCAGGAACUCUGUUUGAAGAGCAACAAUGAUUUAUGGAGAUAAUAAAUCUGGGUGAGGGGGAACUGAAAAUGUUCA
ensembl:lncRNA